GCCAACCCUCAACAAGGUGUAUCAGGCCGUCGUGGAGGGUCCGCUCACCUGCCUCAAAUGUUAUCAUCAUAAAUCAUGAGCAAUUCUCUUCUCAGUCAUCAGAUCCAAACAGACCUCACUGGCUUUGGAAAGCUGGCCCGAUGAGACUACUACAGCUCCCCUCAAAGGAACACGCAAGAGAGCAAAACUAGCCGCAAGUGCGAGAAAUUGCUGUUAUUAAGUAGUGCAUGAUUAUUCGAGUACAAUGAAGAGACGUG
rnacentral:lncRNA from 1 species